UGGAUGGAGGGUUUGAUCCUGGCUCAGGGUGAACGCUGGCGGCGUGCUUGACACAUGCAAGUCGAACGGUAUGUGGCAACACAUAGAGUGGCGAACGGGUGAGUAACACGUGGGAAACCUACCUCUUAGCGGGGGAUAACUGACCGAAAGGACAGCUAAUACCGCAUAAGACCGAAAGGUGAAAGGUGCAAAUGCAUCGGCGAAGGAGCGGCCCGCGGACCAUCAGCUAGUUGGUGGGGUAAGAGCCUACCAAGGCGACGACGGUUAGCCGGCGUGAGAGCGUGGCCGGCCACAAGGACACUGAGAUACGGGUCCUACUCCUACGGGAGGCAGCAGUGCGGAAUUUUAGAUAAUGGAGGCAACUCUGAUCUAGCGACGCCGCGUGCAGGAAGAAGGUCUUCGGAUUGUAAACUGCUGUGGUAAGGGAAAAAUGUCAUGUAGAGUGGAAAGCUACAUGGAGGGAUGGUACCUUACUAGAAAGCCCCGGCUAACUACGUGCCAGCAGCCGCGGUAAUACGUAGGGGGCGAGCGUUACCCGGAAUCACUGGGCGUAAAGGGAGCGUAGGUGGCCUGACAUGUCAACUGUGAAAACCCGGAGCUCAACUCCGGACUUGCAGUUGAAACUGCCAGGCUUGAGGACGGUAGAGGAAGACGGAACUGCCAGUGUAGGGGUAAAAUCCUUAGAUAUUGGCAGGAACGCCGGUGACGAAGGUGGUUUUCUGGGCCGGUUCUGACACUGAUGCUCGAAAGCCAGGGGAGCGAACGGGAUUAGAUACCCCGGUAGUCCUGGCCCUAAACGAUGUUCACUAGGUGUGGGGAGCGGAAAGCUUUCCGUGCUAAAGCUAAC
rnacentral:rRNA from 1 species